rnacentral:misc_RNA from 1 species
AACUUUCGACAACGGAUCUCUUGGUUCUGGCAUCGAUGAAGAACGCAGCGAAAUGCGAUAAGUAAUGCGAAUUGCAGAAUUCAGUGAGUCAUCGAAUCUUUGAACGCACAUUGCGCCCUUUAGUAUUCUGAAGGGCAUGCCUGUUCGAGCGUCAUUAUCAGUAAUCAAGCCUGGCUUGCUGUUGGACCUCUUGUCGUUAGACCGACAGGCCCUAAAAAUAAUGACGGUGUUAUUUGGACCCUAGACGCAACGAGCUUUAACCAGCACGCGUUUAGUUGGACCCUUUAAUCCGGUCUUCUUUAACCAAUUUUCUAAGGUUGACCUCGGAUCAGGUAGGAAUACCCGCUGAACUUAAGCAUAUCAAUAAGCGGAGGCU